CCUACGGGUGGCAGCAGUAGGGAAUAUUGCACAAUGGGGGAAACCCUGAUGCAGCGACGCCGCGUGAGGGAAGAAGGAUUUCGGUAUGUAAACUCCUAUCAGCAGGGAAGAAAAUGACGGUAUCUGACUAAGAAGCCCCGGCUAACUACGUGCCAGCAGCCGCGGUAAUACGUAGGGGGCAAGCGUUACUCGGAUUUACUGGGCGUAAAGGGCGCGUAGGCGGGAGUGCAAGUCAGAUGUGAAAGGCGGUGGCUUAACCCCAGGACUGCUUUGGAAACUGUAAUGCUGGAGUGCGGGAGAGGUAAGUGGAAUUCUUAGUGUAGCGGUGAAAUGCGUAGAGAUUAGGAGGAAUACUAGUGGCGAAGGCAGCUUGCUGGACCGUAACUGACGCUGAGGCGCGAAAGCGUGGGGAGCAAACAGGAUUAGAUACCCGUGUAGUC
rnacentral:rRNA from 1 species